rnacentral:rRNA from 1 species
CUACGGGGUGCUCCAGUGAGGAAUAUUGCACAAUGGGGGGAACCCUGAUGCAGCAACGCCGCGUGGAGGAUGACGCAUUUCGGUGUGUAAACUCCUUUUAUAUGUCAAGAAAAUGACGGUAGCAUAUGAAUAAGCACCGGCUAACUCCGUGCCAGCAGCCGCGGUAAUAAGGAGGGUGCAAGCGUUACUCGGAAUCACUGGGCGUAAAGGACGCGUAGGCGGGUUGGAAAGUCAGGUGUGAAAUCCUACAGCUUAACUGUAGAACUGCACUUUAAACUUCUAACCUAGAGUAUGGGAGGGGGAGAUGGAAUUAGUGGUGUAGGGGUAAAAUCCGUAGAUAUCACUAGGAAUACCUAAAGCGAAGGCGAUCUCCUGGAACAUUACUGACGCUAAGGCGUGAAAGCGUGGGGAGCAAACAGGAUUAGAUACCCUUGUAGUC